GCCUACGGGGGGCAGCAGUAGGGAAUUUUCGUCAAUGGGCGCAAGCCUGAACGAGCAAUGCCGCGUGAACGAGGAAGGUCUUCGGAUCGUAAAGUUCUGUUGAAGGGGAAAAAGAGCGGAGAGAGGAAACGGUCUCCGAUUGAUAUUACCCUUCGAGGAAGUCACGGCUAACUACGUGCCAGCAGCCGCGGUAAUACGUAGGUGGCGAGCGUUAUCCGGAAUGAUUGGGCGUAAAGGGUGCGUAGGCGGCCUGCUAAGUCUGGAGUGAAAGGUACCGGCUCAACCGGUACAGGCUCUGGAAACUG
rnacentral:rRNA from 1 species